GGGUCAGUAGGUUGGUCGUGCCACCGGUACGUACUGGUCUCACUGAUUCCUCCUUCCUGAAGAACCGUAAUGCCAUUAAUUUGGUGUUGCGGGGAAACAGGACCGUUACUUUGAAAAAAUUAGAGUGUUUAAAGCAAGCUAACGCUUGAAUACAUUAGCAUGGAAUAAUGAAAUAGGACGAUCGAUCCUAUUUUGUCGGUUUCUAGGAUUGACGUA
rnacentral:rRNA from 1 species